UGUGUAAUUGUAAACAUAAGAGUUAUACAGGAAAUUCAAAAACAGUUUCUUCUCUAUCUUUAUGUCAGUAUCAGUCAUGGUAUUCUACUCCAAGGUAACAUUUUGAAAUAUUAGAAAGACUUCACAGCAAGUGAGAUUCAACACAUAUUCUGAAAUGAAGAUUAAAGUGUCAAAUUAAGAGACUCUGUAAACUGUUUAGUCUUGCAAGAUCACUUCCUGCAUAGAGUGCUUUGAGGAAUAAGCAACUGUCAAUGUUUUCUGAGUUUAAAGACGUCCCAUGCUAGAUUGCUGGCUCCAGCAUGAAUAACCCCGAUGUCUUCUGCCCUCUUGGAUCCAAGAAAUGAUAGUGGGGUCAACUUGGAAGCUAGAGAGUCAUAGAGCUAAAAAUUUCCUGAAUCAAUCAUGGAAUCUUAGGAUUGGAGUCGGAGCAGUGAACUGGACCAUUUAUCUAGUCUCAUCUUCCCCUCAAUGCAAGAAUCUUUGGUUGUCAUCCUUUCCACAGAUGGAAGAGGUUGGUGUGGUGCAGUGGUAA
rnacentral:lncRNA from 1 species